AUGGUUGAUGGUCAUCCUAUUGAUACACCCUUCAUUGAUAAGUCUUUUGAUGAUAUUGUCAAUGAUAACUAUGUGUCCACUGAAGACUCUUCAGAUGAUGAAAACUAUCAAAAUGUAGAGGUUGAGGUUCAAAAUAAUAGGAGAGUGAAAGUAGAUCAAUCUGAUGAAGAUGAUGAUGUUCCCAUUGGCAACACUAUGAAGAGUGAAAUAACCGACUGA